UGUUUCUCCAAAUUUCUAAAUCCCCCGCGCUCUUUUUGCUCUGCUUGCUGCUCAUGUUUCCCCAAAUUUCCGAAUUCCCGCCGCUUCAUUCCCCCCUGAUCACCUGUUUUUUUUUUUGCUCUGCUUGCUGCUCAAAUUCCCAUGCGAACAAAAGCUUCUCCACUCUAGACCAGAGGCCUCCACUGCUUCCUCUCUAUCGUUCCCGUCGCUCAAUCUUGCCGCCGACGAGCCUCCAUUGCCAAUCUUUCCAAGUCCCAUAUGAACAAGGAACAAAAAGAAGCCCUAAAUUCCCACUUCUCCUAUUCUGACAAAGAAGCAUUUACCCGGCCAAGGAAAAAGAAAACUCACUCGAUUCCACCUCACUCAUUCCUCUCUUUCCCCCAAAUUCCAAAAUUUCCCCGUUAUGCUCUGAUGUCCAAAUUGAUUUGCUUUGCUUGACCGGAAGGUUAUGCUCUAAUUCCAGCCUCGACAUGAUUUUGGACUGGGUCGUGGAAGGCAGAUCGAAGGCACGUGAAGCUGUCCUCCUACGCAAAGCUCGGUUACCCAAGGAGAUUAGGUCGUGGAAGGAAGAUGCUCUGAGCCAGCCUCGACAUGAUUUUGUGAAGAUUAGGUCGGGGAAGGAAGAUCGAAGGCCCGUGAAGCUCUCUUCCUACGCCAAGCUCCGUUACCCAAAGAGGAAUCUGCUUCUGGUUCUUGACUGUUGCUCGGCGGUUUCACGAGGAGGACGUCGGCGCUUUGGGAACAUGGCUGGUGUUUUUCAAGUAAUGGCAUUUGGAGUUCGGGCGUUGGACAAGAAGGAUCUUGAUCCUUCUUUCAAGGCUAAGCUUGCUAAGAUUGCCACGGCUGAGAUGAUUUCCUCCAAGGUCUCUUGUCAUUUAGUCUUCUAUUGAGUGAAGACUGCUGGCUGAAGUCCUUCCACGGCAGGAGAAAGGCAGGAUAAUGUUCCCGUUGUUGGACCGGAACAAGAAACGGAGCUAGUCGUCAUUUGCCUCAGCCUUAUGUGUUGUAUACACCCAUAGAG